rnacentral:rRNA from 1 species
UACGUAGGGGGCAAGCGUUGUCCGGAUUUAUUGGGCGUAAAGAGCGUGUAGGCGGUUAGGUAGGUCCGUUGUGAAAACUCGAGGCUCAACCUCGAGACGCCGAUGGAAACCAUCUGACUAGAGUCCGGAAGAGGAGAGUGGAAUUCCUGGUGUAGCGGUGAAAUGCGCAGAUAUCAGGAAGAACACCCGUGGCUAAGGCGGCUCUCUAGUACGUGACUGACGCUGAGACGCGAAAGCGUGGGGGAGCGAACAGG